rnacentral:misc_RNA from 1 species
UUUCCGUAGGUGAACCUGCGGAAGGAUCAUUAUUGAAUGAACUUGGUAGUGGUUGUAGCUGGCUCUCUCGAGAGCAUGUGCACACCCGCCAUCUUUAUCUUUCCACCUGUGCACUUCUUGUAGACUUUGGGAUUUGAAAACUUAUCCGGGGCAACUCGAUCGGGAGGAGCUGCUGUAGCAAUACGGCUCUCCUUGACAAGUCUUCAAAGUCUAUGUUUUUCAUAUACCCCAUAGUAUGUAACAGAAUGUAUACAAAUGAGCCUUAGUGCUUAUAAAACUUAUACAACUUUCAACAACGGAUCUCUUGGCUCUC